AGUGGGCGCUGUUCUAUCUUUCGAGUCAUGUCCUAAAAGAUAUCCUUCCAAAUCAAAAACUAUCCCUCUCUUCCAAUCAAAACUUAAUACUACUCUAUAUAAUAAAAAUACCACUUGAUCAGUCUUUCUAGAAAACCCUAAAACAUGUCGGGCGGGUUUUUCCGGGGCACGUCGGCCGAGCAGGACACUCGGUUCUCUAAUAAGCAAGCCAAGCUGUUGAAAUCUCAGAAGUUCGCUCCUGAAUUGGAACAUCUGGUGGACAUGACCAAGGUGAAGAUGGAUGUAAUGAAACCAUGGAUUGCCAAACGAGUUACCGAGCUUAUUGGUUUUGAAGAUGAAGUUCUUAUCAAUUUCAUUUAUGGCCUUCUUGAACGAAAGGUAGUUAACGGCAAGGAGGUUCAAAUUUCACUUACUGGAUUCAUGGAAAGAAACACUGGCAAAUUUAUGAAAGAGCUUUGGGCGCUACUACUUAGUGCACAGAACAAUGCAAGCGGUGUUCCUCAGCAGUUCCUAGAAGCCAAAGAAGAGGAAAUGAGAAAGAAGAAGGCUGAGACUGAUCGAAUUGCCAAUGAGAUUCAGAAGAAAAAGGAGAGAGAGAGUAGGGAGCUGGAUCAAGAGAAAAGGAAGAUGAUGGACGAUUAUGCCAGCAAUUCGAGACAAAAAAAUGCUGCACUGGAGCCAAGUCCGAAACACCAGCCUCGGGUGCGCUCGACAGAUGAUUUAGACCAUGUUGACAGAAAUGGCUCAAGAAGAAUACACAGGGUCUCUAGAUCCCCACGUUCAGCACAUCAUUCACCCUCCCCGAGGAGAUCAAGGUCAAUCAGCAAGUCAUUUUCUAAUUCAAGGAGUUAUUCUGGUGAAAGGCGCAGGUCACGAAGUACAUCCGGAUCUCCUUUAGAACGGAGAGGUCGCUCACUUUCAUCUGAAAGGGUAUACCGCUCUCCACCAAGGCGCUCUGUUUCACCUCGUAGGAAGCAUUCACCUCAACAAUCUCUCUCUCCACCAAGACACAGGCAAAGAUCAACCUCCCGAGUACGUCAAGGGUCACCUUCUGUUGCGCGGUAUCGAAGACGUUCUCCAUUCCGACGUAGGAGGUCUCCCAUUCGAUGUAGAUCGAGGUCUCCCAUUCAACGUAGAUCGAGAUCUCCGAUUAGGCGUAGAUCACGAUCCCCUAUGUGGCGUAGGUCACGGUCUCCAAGUAGACGCUCACCAGUGCGAUAUAGAUCAAGGUCAUCUAUUAGAUGUCGAUCACCACUUCGGCGCAGAACACCGAAUCCCACAAAACGUAGGUCCCCUUCUCCGGUGGGUCGGGGUUACCACCGAUCUCCAUUGAGUCCUCGAAGUUCUCUAUCUCCAGCUCAACGAAAAUCCUUCAUAUCUGGCAGGAAAAGAUCCUUAACAUCUGCCAGAAGGUCUAUUUCACCUCAAGGAUCACUUUCUCCCUCACCCAUUUACCACAAGUUUCCUUCACCAAUCAGAAAGAGAAUAUUGAAGAAUGAAAGUUCACCAGUUCAAUCUCCUCGGGGAAGGAUAAGGAGCCGUGAAAAAUACUCCCCUAUUCGACAUGCCCCUCCAGUAAAAACUGAGGCGCAUAAAGGAUCCAGAUCAUUGGAACGUAGACGUCCUAUUUCUUCUAGGUCACCACAGAGGGACAUAUAUGACCUUAAGGAUUCACGAAAAAAAGAGUCGCUUUUGCCUCCUCGGCGACGGCGGUCACCAUCUGUUUCAGAAUCUCCACGCUCCAGAUCGGCCUCAGAAUCUCUACCAACAAAAAGGGAAAGGAGUCCUAGUGAAAAUAGAGGGCCAAGGAGUACUUUGAACCAGAGGGAGAGAAAGACAAUUGACACUGACAGCCCAAAUCCCAGGAAAUUGAGAGAGCACAGAGUUAGUUCUAACAUUUCUGAGAAAAUUGCAGAUGAGAAAGAAAUGAACCAUUCAAGGGAGGCCUUUGAGCAUAAACCUAGGUCUUCAAGAAAAAUUCCUACAACACCUGAUCCAAAUAAAGAUCUUGGAAAGGGGCGGGAUGAGGAAGAAUUUUCUGAAUUUCAUAGCCAUUCAGAUCGCUUGGAGUCAAGAAAGCGAAAUGAAGUGAUGAAGAGUGAAAAAUUUUCCGCAAUGAUGGAGCAAACAAAGGAGCUGGAUCAACAAAAGUCACCAUCAAUCCAUAGACACUCUCAUUCAGUUAAGAGGGAAAGGGAAUCAUAUGCCGGGGAGAGCUUCAAAGCAGAGAAGGAAAACCUGUCUCAUGCAAACUAUAUCAAGGGCAAAGAGCUACUUGAGUCAGAAACUCCCCUCACUUCAUCAAGGAAAGCUGAGCAGAAUGAUCAAAGUGGUGAUGAUGGUUCUGGUUCUGAGGAAAGUGAAAAGCGUAGAGCUAAAGUUAAGGAAAAAAGAAAGCAUAAGAGGUCUGGCAAAUACGAGUCAUCGUCAGAUGAUAGUUAUGACUCUGAUGUUGAGGGUAGGAAGGAGGCUAAAAGGAGGAGGAAAGAGGAGAGGAGAUGGAAGAAAGAGGAGAAGCGUAGGCGGCGGGAGGAGAGACAGCGCAGAAAGGAAGAAAGGCAUGCCCAGAAACUAAAAUUGAAGUCAGCUAAUGCCAUGUCUUCGCCAUCAGAUACAGAGAGAAAUCCUGAUUGCCAUGCUUCUUAUGAUGAGCAUCUGAGGAAGGGGGAUGUCGAGGAGUCAGAGUCCGUGCAGAAAAGGCUUGAGAUUGAGCUGCGGGAGAAGGCUCUUGAAUCUCUCAGAGCAAAAAAGGGCAUCAGCCAUUAAGAUUCUUGCUGCUUUUGGACAUUAUUGAGCUGCUAUUCUUGUCUUAAUAGUCUUCUCUUUCAGCUUGCUUUAUCUAACUAGAACUAAAUGUUUACUAUGGAUAUGUUUAUGAUAUUUAAUGUAGUCUAUCUUUACCCCUGGCAGCUGAAUUGCAUUAAAGAGGGUUUCCUGAGCUAGUGUCUUGACAUCAACUUUAUGCUGACCUACCUGCUAAACAUUCUGAUCAUAAUAUUGUCCACUAGAUGACCUCGUUGAGCAGACAUGUGCAGCUCGAUAUGUGGAUCUCCAAUACAGGUCUCAUGGUAUUGAGUGCUGAUUUACCUUGUCUGGCUGGCAGCUCGACUUGCUCUCCAGAAUGUGAUUUGCUUUUUAUGAUGAUCUGAGUUCGUGUUCGUUUUGUCACUGUGUUUGUAUCAGUAGUUAAGACAAUACUGGUGCAUUAUAUUGUUUCUUAUUAUCUUGCUAGUGUUA